CCCCGUAUUCCAGCCCAGAGAUCGAGGAGAAGUCUUCUGGAAUACGGAACUGCUUAGCAUAGAACAAACCAGCUUUCUAUUAUUACACGAAUAUGAAUACAAGGUCUCCGAUAUUACAAUGAAUAACAUCAGCACGGCGACACUACGCCAUCCUUAGUUGCUCUAUGCAAGCAGCAGAACAACUCGAAGUAGCGGAAGAACUCUAGCAGCGGAACAACGAAGACGGUGGUGAACUCCACUCCGCAAGGACUCUGGCUGGAACGCUUAUCCUAGCUUGCACGAACGGAAACCACAACAAGCAAGCAAUCAAAUCCGGCAUGACCUGUAAACUGGCAUGACACGCCAGGUCAGUACAUUGAAUGUACUUGCAAGCUCACAAUAACCAGAAGCAUUCAAGACAAACAACAGCAUAGCAAUUACAGGUUAAGCAGGGAUUAUCAUAAUAUCAUCAGAACAACAUGGCAUGACCAACAUAAACAUGAUUCAGCUAACUCAACCUGAACAUAGCAUGAACGUAUUAAUCCGACAAUACUAGCAUGCAAUAUAAUGACACUAUAUGCACCAUUUAUUCUGCUCGGGUUACCUUGUAACCAACACAUGCAUCACUUACCAACCUCGGACAUCACACGAUCAUCUCAGGAUCAAAUCAAGCUUGGUAUAAACAAUACCAUAGCAAUCAGUAAAUGACCACAAGGAGCUUGACCUUUAUCCACGAUUCUCGUACAACAUCACGAAUAUACAACAACUCGGUAUCCUCGAUGCCAUCGUGAUCCUUAGGGCGAUCACCACCACGACCAACACUCAAACCGUGAUCCUUACGGCGAUCACAACCCGACCAAUAAAUGGCCCGUGAUCCUUACGGCGACCACAACCCGACCACUACAUGGCCCGUGAUCCUUACGACAAUCACCACCCGACUUAUCUCACUAUUAUUAAGCACAUUAUUUUUACUACUGUUGACUCAUGGUGUGACCUUCUCUUGAACUAGGCCCUUAUCCGCGGGCGCGGCUUUCGACAGAUUUAAUAUACACUCUGCAGAGGUUAGUACACUGUACCCACACUACAGAACCCAUCGCCUCGCACUACCCUUCGGGUGGACCAACGGCGUUCCGAAAAAACCGUCCUACUGCCAUGACACUCUCCCGGCCACUCCGACUCACUCCUCACUGACCUAAGUCAUGGGUGGCCCCGUGCCUACCUCCAGACACAACGACCACUGUCGUGGCCCGCCCCACUCUGGGACACGGAUCUAAAACUAACUUAACAACGGGCACACAAGGUUAUGCUCCGCCUACCUGAUCAGGGUAGCGCGCGCCCAUAACCUUCCCUCAUUGGAGGCACCGGUGAGAGGCAUUACAAUAGACCCAGUUAGGACCGUCCCAUACCGGUAAGCGUGGUUACACUAGUCAGCAUCGAUUCAGCGGCACCAUGACUCAGCCAACAAUUGUUCAAGUUCAAUUUAAUCCGGCUAACUUGAAUGCAAAUAUGCUGAGCCAUGAUAAAAUGCAUGAACAUGAUAUCAACAUCAUCAUGAGAGUAUCACAUAACUUUCCACCAUAACAACAAUAAAUCAUCUCCACUGAUCAUCGCAUACUGACUAGCAUGACCAUCUCCAACAUCAACAUGUACUACUAACAAGCAUAAACAUAUGAAAGAUAAUACUAGUAGGUAUAACAUGAUCACAGAGUAUAAGACAACAUAGCACAAAAGUGAACAUGCAAAUCUGAACAUCACCGGAACAAUGAUAACCAUGUUUUCAACAAGCAAACAUCUAAUAAAGAUUCAAGUUGAAAACCAUGGCUACUGCAUGACUAUCAUGCAAGUGGGUAUUGUGGCUUGCCUGGGGAUGAAGAAGGCACCGGGGAGAAGUGUCAGAAACUUGCGGAACAAAUCGCCGGAAAACGUACUCUCUCGAAGGGGAUGAAUAAGGGCAAGGGCAUAAAGGUCACGGUGGCAAACCAUAGUGAAACCAUGACCAACAGAACGGGCUCGGCAAAACGAAGAAGUGGGCUUUGGUUUCACCUCAUUUGGAUUUACGGAUAAAAAGUUAGAGCCCGAUGAAGUGCAGGGACCAAUCUGUAAAAAUAUCUCUACAAACAGGCCCCUGAGCUGAAAAACAGAAAACGUAUUUCAGACUAUACGCUUACAGAAAAGGAAAACAUAUUCUGAGCUGAAAGGGAAAGAAAGUGCACUUUCCAGCCGGGAAGGCGUAGUCCGUGGAAUACGCCUCCACCUAUCCACGUCAGCGUGGACUAGUCAACGUGGGGCUGGCGGCUUAGAGGCUUACAGGUGGGGUCGCAGGACCCAUGCUGCUGGUGAACGCCUUCGUCUUCUUCCUCCUCUUCGUGGCCCGAUCGAAGCAGAGGCAGGGGCGCUGCCGGCGCCGGCCCCGGCGACUCCGGCCACCUCCGGCCAAACGGAGGCCACCGACGGGCUCGGCGUGGACAGCCGCAUCCAUCCCCGCGCAGAGGAAACGCCGGAGAGGAGCGGGGUGGCCACGACUAAGAGGGGACAGAACCGGCUCCGGCGGUGGUGAUCUACGGGGACGACGGCAACAGCAGCUCCGGCGAUGGGCUCAGAGGGCAGGUAGGGUCUUCGAGGACUGGGUGGAGUUCUGGUGGUGGUAGAAGGAGGAGAGGGGGCUCGACUUGGCCGAAUUCGAGAGGAUGGACGCGGCAGCCAUGGCGGCGAUGGUGGGUAGGGAGUGAUCCAGGAGCUCGGGCUAGUGACUAGGCGGGGCUAGAGGAGAGCGGGGAGGCUGGUGGUGAGCUCGGGAGGGCUCGGGGAUGGCUUAAAUAGCCGCGGGCGAGGUGGCCGUGCUGGCACCGCCGCGGACGCGUGGCCGGCGCCCCGGAUGCAUGUGCUCCUGCAUGGAGUCGGGGGAAGGCGACGGCGAUGCACAGGGAGGAGCUCACCGGGUAGAAGGGGUCGAGGGAUGCAAAGGAGAAACGGCCGAACGCCAUUAAAACAUGUCAGAGCACUGUGCUCCCGUGGGCGCUCGUCGGCGAGCGUCGGUGAGCUAGCUUCCGCAUGGGUAAAGGGGACCAUCGGAGGCGCGACGAUGAGAUCUACCUACUGGACAUCAUCACGGGCUCUAAGACGACGAGAGGAGGAGGGGGUCCAGCCCAAACAGUGCUCUGGACGCGGCCACAACACACAGAGCGCGCCAACAGGCAUGCCAAAACGGUGGUCACCACCAGUGCUGGCAUGUGGGGUAGGCAAAUAGUUGGAAAACAUUGUCUAUUGGUAAGUCCUUCGAAGGUUGGGUUCAACUGAGGUGGUAACAAGGUGGAAGAGGCUCUGGUUAAAUAGCUAGUGAGCUCUGAAGUUUACUGCAGUAAACUUUACCAGCUCAAUGUGGUCAAUAGGGAAUUGCUGGAGGCCAAAAAAGAUGUCUGGGAUGUUAAGCUAUGGAGGGACUAUGAUCCUGGAGGUUUUGAGGGUAAAAUGAUCAAGAUUUACUACAGUUGCUUUGCAAUUGCAUACUUGGUCCAGAAAUGAAGAUCAGGAUGGUGCACUCACAUGGAGAGUCAACUUGAGCUCAAAUUGGGCAAGUCUUAGUAAUUUGGACAUAUGAAGAUUAUGUAAAAAGCUCAUGCCAAAUGGACAAGCCAAAAUAGCACUUGCUUCACAAACAUCUCUGCUAACGAGAAACUUGGAAUAAUUACGAUGGUCAAAUGGAUCAAUGAAAUGAUUCCAAAAUGGGUGGAGAGAUGUUUUAUGGGUAUAAUAAUUAUCUGGUAAUUUAUCAGGAUUUGUGAAGCAAUAUAAAAUAUACUUGCUUCACAACCUGAAAAUAUUGACAGAAGCAAAGAUUUGCUCCUGUGCUCACAUAGAUAAUUGGAUGGGGCUGCAAAUGGGUGGAAGGGGUUAAUAUGAGCACAUUAAGGAGUGUGCAAAAGUUCAACUCAUUUGGGAACUCCUAGCUAGUACUUCCUUCACAAAGCCUUCUGUUGGACAGAAACUUUGGAAAUUCACUGAGGAAGACUGGCUAGGAAAAUAAAUUUGAACUUGUGCAUGAGGCAAUUAUUUGGACAUAUAAACAUGCCAAAAUAGGUUGGGAGUCAAUAGGAUAAAUAUAAAUGACACUUCCUUCACAAAGUGCCAUUUAGGGCAGAAUAGGAAAUGAAUUAUUGGAGGAUUUAUUUUUGAACAUGGCAAUGGAAAAUUUUGCCAUAUUUGAUCAAGAUAUGACCCAAAGAAUUUAUGAGAAUUAUUUGGGAAUUUUUGGAGUGAGGGAAAUAUAGGUUGCUUCACAACCUAGGGCAAUUUGAGUUAUUCCUUUAAUAGAAAAGGAAUAUUCCCAAAAGAAAGAAUAUUGGGAUUUGGGAUCGGAUGGAAAUGACAGGGUCUAGGAAAAGAUUUGGGAAUGGCAAGCCACUCUGUAAACAAAUAAGAGGGCAUAUUCUUCAGUUUCCAACCCACAAAGCCACGAAAAAAGAAAAGUCACGCAAAAACCUCGGAAAAACAAAAGAAAAAGAAAGGGCUAAAAAUCAGGCUGUGAAAAACCUUACCCCCUUAAAGAAAUCUCGUUCUCAAGAUUUGGUUGCUCAGGGAACUAGUAUGAAUAUACUGACUUAAGCAAACCAUUUACUCGGGUAUCAUUUUUCCUUUAUUGUUAUUCCCAUUAAAUUUUUAUCUGACUGGCCCUGGAGUGGUUUGCUUUACUAUAUCCUCAUUCUGACAGACCUUACCUGGCUUGCUCAUGCUUAUAUAGGCUUCAAUUUGUUUUUAGAUCUGCUGACUAGCUGAGUCUGGUUUAAUUAUCAUGACUGAAAUAUAUGUCUGUCUCACAAAAAAAGUGAUUUCCGCUCGGUGUGCCACCCGGCACUGACAACCUUUCAUGUAAUGAUGAUCAGAUUUUUCUGAUGAAAACUCAAGCUCUGACUCAUUGCAUUGGGUUUCUCCACUAAAUGCAGGUCCUUUGUGGUUCCAAACAGUGAGUUAAACAUAACCGUUUCCUGACAGAUUCUGACUCAUCGCAGAAGUUUCUGAAUCAUCUUAACCGGUUCCAUUGUCGUCAGUAUCGGAUCCGUACCAAAUAUUUGAUUGUCUCCUGUCGCGGCAGCAUAAAGGGUUUGGCAUGUAUGAUAAUUUCUGCAGACUUGACUGACGGUGGUUCUAACGGAAAAUUUUGUUCACUACAGGCUAUCCAUGAUGAUUCAUAUAAGUGAGGGCUCAGGCUUCCAGACUGUUAUUCCUCAUGCCGAUUACUCAUGUUGUAGGCAUAUCCAUGUGAAUCGCUACUAACUUAGACUGUCCGGAAGAUCUGCACCAUGGGGUCGUGUACAAUUUUCAUACCUGCAUCACGGGUCUUGCUCCUUCAUUAUUGUUUUCUUGGUCUGGAUCCUUGGCUGAAAGAGCUGGGUCAUAUUGCUUCUUCGUAUGACCAUAGGUACUGUCGGUGCAAUUUUUCAGCAAUUGUAGUUUAUCCGCAUUUUUCUGACAGGGUAACCCAUUAAAUGACAGGUUCAACACCUCUCGAAUUCUGAUCGUUGGGAAAUGAUCAUCCGAAACCCUUGCAAGAAAUCGGCAAAUAAAUCAGUAGCCACCAGAACGGUCUUUACAACUCAGAUCUGGGACAUUACUGGAAUAACUCAACCACGGCUCAGGACGGCUGAAAAAGCAGCUCAGAGCAUGAGACCUGGUCGAUAAGAAGAAGGUGGUAUCUCCCUAAAAUAGCCAAAAAGUAGUUAUAGGGCUACUGUCACAAAAAGAAACUCAACAGCUGUAAGAGACGGCCGAAAAGCAGAUCAGACUCGUGACAGUCAUUGAAGAGAGAAACAAAAAUCGGCAUCCACCCAGAUAGCUAGAAACAGCUCAGAUCACAGGCGUGGUGCCAUCAUUGGAGAAAAAGGGGACAAGGGCUCAUCAGGAUCAUUUUCCAGGUUCACGGGUACUUGUAAGAUCUUGAUGGUAUGCUCAUUGCAUAUAUAUGAGAAUGUGAUUCCUGAGACAGACGUGUAUUCUGACUGAUUCUUGAUUCUGACCAAAAUGUUGCGGAUCUGAUUCUUGGGAUUCACUGCCAUAUGCUGUCAAUUCACAGCGUACUACCUUGUACCAAUGUCUUACUGGGGUAUAUUUGCUGGCUUGUGCUUGAAACUUUCAUUGGAUAGCUUGCUGAAGGAGACUGAAUAUUAUGCUUCAGAAGCUUACCCCCUUAAAGACUUUGCUGGGGGAAAAUUCAGUACCUUAUGCUGAAAAUCUUCACGGUUUCUUACUAAAGAAGACAAGAUACCUUGCACGGGAAAUCAUCCAUGUAUCGUACUGAGGAAGAUAGAUGAAUCUUGCCUUGGAAGCUUCUCUGGUAUCUUGCGAGGGAAAAGUGGGUUGCUUACACCAGAAGCUUCUUAUUGUGAUAUGUGGACCGAUUUCCACAUAUACAUACCACCUGAAUAUUUUGCAAUUGAUUUCUUGCAUGAAACGGGGUUUUGCAGGGCUAUCCUCCUUUCUGAGCACAUGCCAUAUUUUUGUUUGCUUCCAGGUACAUUGAGUUCCAAAAUCAUCCUCAACAAAAAAUUAAACUUGUAUCUGAGCCAUACCUUCCAUAAUAUUCUGCCAAACUUGCACACAAUUUAUCUUCUUGCUGAUUUAAUCAUUUUGUUGUGAUGAGUGCAUGCUAAUGCAAACUUGACACUGACGGUCCAUCCAGGAUUUCUUUUGCAUCCAGACAACAUAUUCCCAAUUUCACUGCAGUCAGCUGAUAAUUCCGUUCUGUUUAGAUGAGUUUCCAAACAUAAGCAUUUCUUGCUGACUCUUCGGGUCUAGUGUCAGCUAACGAGCAACUUUAAUAGGGGAAAAAUUUGUAACACUGAAGGCCCAAAGAAAGGAAUAACAGAAACGACUAAAACAAAAGCACACAAGCAUACUACUAAUAAAUAAUCAAGCAAUCAUCACAUAUUACUGCUACUCACACAAAAAUAUGCAUGCACACCUAAGCACACAAAUCUCGCGGGAUCUCCGGUACUACGAUCUAAUAUGCUGUGACGAUGUGCACGAGGACAAAUAAAUGUGUGGAAGAAUUGGUGUAAAUAGCGCUACACCAAGUUCUAGCUUAGCCAGGUGGCAACCUGGACUAGCUCGGAGAUGAGGACAUACUUGGUAAUCAUGCAGUGGGACACGAAGGUCGCAACCACAUUAUUAUCAAGCGGACAGAAAAAGAUCCGUACUUGUCCAACAAAUGGGAUAGCGGGGAAAACGGAGGCUGCUGACAUUGCCCUUUCUUGAUAACUAAGAUCAUUAAGGGUUGCCAACACGACGAAAUAAAAGAACGAUCCGGGAUAGAAGCAUGUCCAUCACCGAAACGAUAGGCGGGAUUGAAAGAAAGACAUCGGUGCGAUACCUGAGCACCAUUUUUGCAAACAGUGUCGGGAUCACUUGGCAUCACUCAGCUGGGACAGAAAUGACACCAAACACCGAAAGAAAAGGAACUAGGGAAAUGCAAAGGUUGAGCUAUAGUGGAUCUGAACCGAUGCCAGCUACACUCACCAGAUAAACCGUUAGUACAAAUAUUAAGGCUAUAUGCAUGCUAUGCAACAAACAAAUGCAGCAAUCAAGUGCAAUCAUCAAGACAGACUCUAUACUACCGAUUUCUAACGUUCGCGCGGUCUAGGGUGUCCUACAGCCAGACCUGCUCUGAUACCAAGCCUGUGGCUCCCCGGCUCAGAGAAACCGGAACACCCCGUAUUCCAGCCCAGAGAUCGAGGAGAAGUCUUCUGGAAUACGACACUGCUUAGCAUAGAACAAACCAGCUUUCUAUUAUUACACGAAUAUGAAUACAAGGUCUCCGAUAUUACAAUGAAUAACAUCGGCACGGCGACACUACGCCAUCCUUAGUUGCUCUAUGCAAGCAGCAGAACAACUUGAAGCAGCGGAAGAACUCUAGCAGCGGAACAACGAAGACGGUGGUGAACUCCACUCCGCAGGGACUCUGGCUGGAACGCUUAUCAUAGCUUGCACGAACGGAAACCACAACAAGCAAGCAAUCAAAUCCGGCAUGACCUGUAAACUGGCAUGACACGCCAGGUCAGUACAUUGAAUGUACUUGCAAGCUCUCAAUAACCAGAAGCAUACAAGACAAACAACAUCAUAGCAAUUACAGGUUAAGCAGGGAUUAUCAUAAUAUCAUCAGAACAACAUGGCAUGACCAACAUAAACAUGAUUUAGCUAACUCUACCUGAACAUAGCAUGAACAUAUUAAUCCGACAAUACAAGCAUGCAAUAUAAUGACACUAUAUGCACCAUUUAUUCUGCUUGGGUUACCUCGUAACCAACACAUGCAUCACUUACCAACCUCGGACAUCACACGAUCAUCUCAGGAUCAAAUCAAGCUUGGUAUAAACAAUACCGUAGCAACCAGUAAAUGACCACAAGGAG
rnacentral:lncRNA from 1 species